ACCCAAAUUAUUCCGUCGAGCACACUCCAAAAGGUCGAGGUUAUGCUUUUCAUUUUCGAGUUUGCAGUAGUCGAGUUCCCAUCGUGUUUUAAAUCUCCAGUUGAGAUUUGGGCUUAGGACCUAGUUUCAACUUUCAGAGUGUAUGCUUCAGGAGAUUUUCUCUUAAUGUUGAAGAAAUUUUUGUGCAAUAAGGUCCUCUCAUCCCAUUUC
rnacentral:lncRNA from 1 species